rfam:Echinostoma caproni strain Egypt genome assembly, scaffold: ECPE_scaffold0009770
GGCCUCGUAGCUCAGCUAGUAAAGCGUGCGCAUACAAAGUGUAGGCGGCUUCUAUGUGUGGGUUUGAAUCCCACCGAAGCUA